CACGUAGGGGGCAAGCGUUGUCCGGAUUUAUUGGGCGUAAAGAGCUCGUAGGCGGUUCGCUAAGUCGGGUGUGAAACCUCCAGGCUCAACCUGGAGACGCCACCCGAUACUGGUGUGACUCGAGUCCGGUAGGGGAGCGUGGAAUUCCUGGUGUAGCGGUGAAAUGCGCAGAUAUCAGGAGGAACACCAAUUGCGAAGGCAGCUCGCUGGGACGUUACUGACGCUGAGGCUCGAAAGCAUGGGGAGCAAACAGG
rnacentral:rRNA from 1 species